CUGUUUCCUCAAGUUGAGCCAUGAUUGGUUGUUACCUGAGCCCUGAGCACAUGCAAUGUUAUUUUUCUGUCGACAGCAAGUUGCAAAAGGCUGCUGGAGAG